CUGGGACACGUAGUCUUCAGUGUUGACACAAGUCUUUAAAAAGAUAAGCUUCAGUGUUCACGGUAGAACAGAGAAAUACAAUAGAGUCAAUGAACAACUACACACAGGUGUGCAGACAGCCAAUGUGCAAAAGAAGACAAACUGUGCAAGUGAAAAGAAAUACUGUAAAGCAAACACGAGGAAAUCUGCAGAUGCUGGAAUUUCAAACAACACAUACAAAAUGCUGGUGGAACACAGCAGGCCAGGCAGCAUCUAUAGGGAGAAGCACUGUCGACGUUUCGGGCCGAGACCCUUCGUCAGGACUAACUGAAAGGAAAGAUGAAAUCUUUCACAUAGGGAGCCUGCGUACUCCCAUCAACCUGCACCCAGACCGUAGCCCUCCAUACCCCUACCAGCCAGAAUUGUUGCUCACUGGAGGUGUCUAGAGACUGUUGUGCAAAAGUCCCAGGAGAUCAGCAGUUUCUAAGACACUCAAACCACCCCAUCUGGCACCAACAAUCACUCUACAGUCGAAGUUACUGAGGUCACUUUUCUUCCCUGUUCUGAUGUUUGGUCUGAACAACAACUGAACGUCUUACCAUGUCUGCAUGUUUUUAUGCCUUGUGUUGCUGCCAGAUGAUUGGCUGAUUAGCUAUUUGCAUUAAUAAAUACCUAAUAAAGUGGCCACAGAGUGUAUUUCAACUUGCCUAAAAAUCUGUAGCCAGGAGCAUUAAGGGAUAUGGGGAAAGUGUCAUUCAUGUAAAAAGCCAACUGUAAUCUUGUUAA